UGGCAAGUCGACCAAAGGCGAAAGCAGUCAUCAAGGGCAUACCCGUUGAUCAAGAGCGAAAGUUAAGGGUUCGAAGACGAUCAGAUACCGUCGUAGUCUUAACUAUAAAUGAUGCAAACCAGGGAUAGGACAGUGUCCAUCUCGACUCCUCCCGGACCUUGGAGAAAUUACAGUCUAUGGGUUCUGGGGGGAGUAUGGUCGCAAGGCUGAAACUUAAAGGAAUUGACGGAAGGGCACACAAAGAGUGGAACCUGCGGCUUAAUUUGACUCAACACGGGAAAACUCACCAGGUCCGGAUACACGUAUGAAAGUCAAGCUGAAAGACUUUACUCAAUGAUGUAAGUGGUGGUGCAUGGUCGUUCUUAGUUCGUGGAUUGAUUUGUCUGGUCUAUUCCGAUAACGAGCGAGACCCCGGCGUUCCUAAUAGGGGUGGCAGCCAAGCCGGUCGCAAGGCCGGUUAGCUCGCCGCCUGAAGUUAUACUUCUUAGACGUAUCAGAGCCGACAAGGUUCUUGAAAUGGGUUAAUAACAGGUCAGUCAUGCCCUUAGAUGUUCUGGGCCGCACGCGCGUUACAAUGGCACGUAUACCGAGUGCUUGAAUAAGGCGUCCCCGGGGCCGAAAGGUCUCGGUAACCCUUAGUCCUUGCUUUGACUGGGACAGAUCUUUGCAAUUAUUGGUCUCAAACGAGGAAUUUUUAGUAAUCGUAGGUCAUUAACCUGCGUUGAAUGCGUCCCUGCCCUUUGUACACACCGCC
rnacentral:rRNA from 1 species